CCUACGGGUGGCAGCAGUGAGGAAUAUUGGUCAAUGGUCGGGAGACUGAACCAGCCAAGCCGCGUGAGGGAGGAAGGUACAGAGUAUCGUAAACCUCUUUUGUCAGGGAACAAAGGCGGGGACGUGUCCCCGGAUGAGUGUACCUGAAGAAAAAGCAUCGGCUAACUCGGUGCCAGCAGCCGCGGUAAUACGGAGGAUGCGAGCGUUAUCGGGAUUUAUUGGGUUUAAAGGGUGCGCAGGCGGUCUGUUAAGUCUGCGGUAAAAGCCCGGGGUUAAACCCCGGCCCGCCGUUGAAACUGGCAUUCUCGAGUUGGAGAGAAGUAUGCGGAAUGCGCGGUGUAGCGGUGAAAUGCAUAGAGAUCGCGCAGAACUCCGAUUGCGAAGGCAGCAUGCCGGCUCCACACUGACGCUGAGGCACGAAAGCGUGGGUAUCGAACAGGAUUAGAUACCCGGGUAGUC
rnacentral:rRNA from 1 species